rnacentral:rRNA from 1 species
GCAAGUCGUAGCGGUAAGGCUCCUGCAGAUUAUUUAAGCGGUGAACUAUUCACCACCCAUACUUCUGGCUGAGGUGAGGGCGAGCUUGAAUGAUGUGCUGGAGUACACGAGCGGCGGACGGGUGAGUAACGCGUAAGAAUGUACCCCAAACUGAGGGAUAACUGCUCGAAAGAGUAGCUAAUACCGCAUGUGCUCUUCGGAGUAAAGCUUCGGCGGUUUGGGAACAGCUUGCGUAAGAUUAGCUAGUUGGUAAGGUAAUGGCUUACCAAGGCGACGAUCUUUAGCUGGUCUGAGAGGAUGAUCAGCCACACUGGGACUGAGACACGGCCCAGACUCCUACGGGAGGCAGCAGUAGGGAAUUUUCCACAAUGGGGGCAACCCUGAUGGAGCAACGCCGCGUGCAGGAUGAAGGCCUUCGGGUUGUAAACUGCUUUUGUCUGCGACGAAUAUGACGGUAGCAGACGAAUAAGGAUCGGCUAACUACGUGCCAGCAGCCGCGGUCAUACGUAGGAUCCAAGCGUUAUCCGGAUUUACUGGGCGUAAAGAGUUGCGUAGGUGGCAGAGUAAGUGAAUAGUGAAAGCGUGC